AGUGAACGCUGGCGGCGUGCCUAAUACAUGCAAGUCGAACGGAGUGGCGCACGGGGGAGUAAUGUAUAGCUAAUCCGCCUAACACUAGAGGACAACAGAUGGAAACGACUGCUAAUACUCCAUAGUGUAGGGUGUGGCUAUAUUGUAGCAGCUAGUUGGUGAGGUAAUGGCUCACCAAGGCUAUGACGCAUAACUGGUCUGAGUGGAUGAUCAGUCGCGCUUUACCUGAUGCACAGUCCGGACUCCUACGGCAGUCAGCGGUAGGCUGUAUUUCUCAAGUGGGGUGACCCUGAAACAGUUACGCCUCGUAGAGGAUGACACUUUUCGAAGCGUAUACUCCUUUUGUUAGGGGAUCGGUACCUUACGAAUAAGCACCGGCUAACUCCGUGCCAGCAGCCGCGGUAAUAC
rnacentral:rRNA from 1 species